CUUCUUGUUCCUGAAAGCUUACAACUCAGUCAAUUACACUGAUCUGAUCUGUGCCAGUAUCGCAAAGAGAUCAAUUGACUCAAGUGUAGCUACUUGGUGUUGCCUGCUUGUUUUUAGUUGCAUAAGACUAGCUGCCAAAUUUUUGACGUAACAACGGGCACAUAUCUAAUUGAAUAUAUGGCUCAUGAGGGCACUUCGGUACUGGAUUGUGCUUGCUGUUAUACAGAAGGAAGUGGAAACACGGUUGAUGAAUAAUCAAAGUGUUCUAUCUAUUUUUCAUUUCAUUCAUUACGAAUGGUUAUCUCCUAGAUCUUGGAUAUUAAGCCGUCUCGGAUCGCGGGCAUGUCACAAGUGGUGUGGACGACACAUAUGAAGAAACCACCAACGUUGAGUGGCUGAGUGUGGAGGCAGCAUCUCGCUAGGUACUGGUGUCAAGGGGCCAUAGAGAGGAGGCUUCGUCUGGUAACGUGUGAAAUAUGAUUAUAUGUUUCGGGUGAUGCAUGCCGAGAAAUGCCCUGGGUGAUGGCAAAUUGGCUUGGAAUUCCUGAACUUUGGGAUCGAUCGUUGUUUGAGUAGUGCCCAAAAGAAAGCACAAAAUUGUAUGGAACCUCAUGGAAAGCGAAAAUUUAUUAACUUAUACAUAUAAUUAUCAUGUUUUUUUUUCUCAGAAGAGA